rnacentral:rRNA from 1 species
AUUGAACGCUGGCGGCAGGCUUAACACAUGCAAGUCGAACGAGUGGCGGACGGGUGAGUAAUGCUUGGGAAUCUAGCUUAUGGAGGGGGAUAACUACUGGAAACUGUAGCUAAUACCGCGUACCAUAGGAGGAGCCCAAGUGGGACUAGGUAGUUGGUGGGGUAAAGGCUCACCAAGCCGACGAUCUCUAGCUGGUCUGAGAGGAUGACCAGCCACACUGGGACGGAGACACGGCCCAGACUCCUACGGGAGGCAGCAGUGAGGGAUAUUGCGCAAUGGGAGCGACCUGACACAGCCAUGCCGCGUGAAUGAAGAAGGCCUUCGGGUUGUAAAGUUCUUUCGGUAGCGAGGCGUUAACUACAGAAGAAGCACCGGCUAACUCCGUGCCAGCAGCCGCGGUAAAC